rnacentral:rRNA from 1 species
AUGGGCCUACGGGACGCAGCAGUGAGGAAUAUUGGUCAAUGGGCUUACGCCUGAACCAGCCAAGUCGCGUGAGGGAAGACUGCCCUAUGGGUUGUAAACCUCUUUUGUCAGGGCGCAACGCCGGCUACGUGUAGCCGGACUGAGAGUACCUGAAGAAAAAGCAUCGGCUAACUCCGUGCCAGCAGCCGCGGUAAUACGGAGUAUGCGAGCGUUAUCCGGAUUUAUUGGGUUUAAAGGGUGCGUAGGCGAAAUGCCAAGUCAGCGGUAAACUCGCGGGGC